UCCUGGCUCAGAUUGAACGCNGGCGGCAGGCUUAACACAUGCAAGUCGAACGGUAACAGGAAGCAGCUUGCUGCUUUGCUGACGAGUGGCGGACGGGUGAGUAAUGUCUGGGAAACUGCCUGAUGGAGGGGGAUAACUACUGGAAACGGUAGCUAAUACCGCAUAACGUCGCAAGACCAAAGAGGGGGACCUUCGGGCCUCUUGCCAUCGGAUGUGCCCAGAUGGGAUUAGCUAGUAGGUGGGGUAACGGCUCACCUAGGCGACGAUCCCUAGCUGGUCUGAGAGGAUGACCAGCCACACUGGAACUGAGACACGGUCCAGACUCCUACGGGAGGCAGCAGUGGGGAAUAUUGCACAAUGGGCGCAAGCCUGAUGCAGCCAUGCCGCGUGUAUGAAGAAGGCCUUCGGGUUGUAAAGUACUUUCAGCGGGGAGGAAGGUGUUAAGGUUAAUAACCUCAGCAAUUGACGUUACCCGCAGAAGAAGCACCGGCUAACUCCGUGCCAGCAGCCGCGGUAAUACGGAGGGUGCAAGCGUUAAUCGGAAUUACUGGGCGUAAAGCGCACGCAGGCGGUCUGUCAAGUCGGAUGUGAAAUCCCCGGGCUCAACCUGGGAACUGCAUUCGAAACUGGCAGGCUAGAGUCUUGUAGAGGGGGGUAGAAUUCCAGGUGUAGCGGUGAAAUGCGUAGAGAUCUGGAGGAAUACCGGUGGCGAAGGCGGCCCCCUGGACAAAGACUGACGUCAGGUGCGAAAGCNUGGGAGGCA
rnacentral:rRNA from 1 species